UUUCCGUAGGUGAACCUGCGGAAGGAUCAUUACUGAGUGAGGGCCCCUCGGGGUCCAACCUCCCACCCGAGUUUAACGAACCUUGUUGCUUCGGCGGGCCCGACUCACGGCCGCCGGGGGGCAUCUGCCCCCGGGCCAGCGCCCGCCAAAGCCACCUGUGAACGCGGUCUGAAGUAUGCAGUCUGAGAAAAUUAUUAAAUUAAUUAAAACUUUCAACAACGGAUCUCUUGGUUCCG
rnacentral:misc_RNA from 1 species